UACGUUAUUUUUUAGAAACUUGGUCAGCAAAGAAAAAACAAAAAUAUGGUUACUUUCAAAGAUUGUUUGUUAUUGAUAGUAUUUCAAUGUAUUAUUUUUGUUUAGAUUGCAAAAUGAAUGAAAAAUAAAUAUUAGUACCGUGUAAUAUAAACUGGUAAAAGUGAUCUAACCUCAAUCAAAGUGAUAAUAUGUACAACAAUAAAUAUGAGUAAAAGAGAUAAUAAGAAUUUUAAAAGAAAAUAUCCAAUCAGAUGAAAUUCUUGAAUAGAAAAAUAUGAAAAAGAUACAAGUGAAAGAAUCAGAGUAGAAUAGAUUCUUAAAUGGCAUUGCGUGUUUCAUGACGUGUAACAUAACACUUAAAGGCAAGAGACGAUCGAUUCUGCUCAUCUCCAACUAGCAUAUAUUUAGCAUAUCCACUACGAGACUGACAGCGUGUUAUUUCACCAACAAAUAAUACGCAAGAAGCUCAGCAUUGUAACUAUAAGAAAGUAAAAGAGAGAGAAUGACCGUGGCAAAGAAAGGCCACUUGAGUGCCUCGAGGAGGUUAUACCCUUAAAUGCUUUUAAAUACGUGCGAAGAAUGCAUCGAGGAUUUCGAAUAGAGAAUAAAAGGGUAUAGUAAGUCUAUUUUCAACUGGACUCUAUAAGAGACUACCUGCUAAAUUACAAUGAGUGAUCAGUAUUUUUUAUUACAUUUUUCAUCUUCACUGAUUGAUUAUAAGUGGAUUCGCCAUCAAUUAACCCUAGUCUAUCUUGAAAACAAUAUGAAAGGUACUAGGAAUGAUACUGUGAUGAACAAGAGGUGGAUCACGUCAUCAUUAACGAGUCUCUGUCAAAAAAUUGUUAGAUAGAUACUUCCUAAAAAUUAUUUAGUUCUUUUUUUUACAAGGAGUUUCAUGAUUUAACACUUUUCAAUAUCAUCAUUUCAUUCUAUAAUGAAAAAUGGUUGAUCAAAAAUUUUUAUAAACAUUUUUAAAUCAAUUAAAGAAGAGGAAACAUUGAGAAUAAAUAAUUUACUCCAAAAUGUUAGAUAAAGAAAACGAAUUUUUUGUUAUUAAUUUAAAUUAAUUGAUGCAUACAAAAAACAAAGUUUAGUCGACAAUUAAUGACAUAAAAUAUGAAGUGAGUUGUUUGAAGUCUUACAAUUAGUUAUGUAACAAUGGUAUUUACACUGUUAAAGAAUUAUUUAUUUGAAGAGCUUUUAAAAACAUAAGGACUCAUAUAUGUACAAGUGCGAUCUAGUGAUUAUUCAAGUUCCACUUGAAUGUGAAGUGCAUAAUAUACACACACGAAUAAAUCUCACAUGUUUGCAUCGUCGAUUAGUGAAGUGUCGUCAUCAGGAUUAUAGCUGAAUAGGCUUUAAGGAUCUCUUUUUUCCCACUACUUCUAUCCUUUUCUUUGUUCGUCCCUUGAGAUUUCGAGACUACCUUCUACUUCCAUAAUUCACUCGGGAGACUAAGGAGUCCAGGGUUCAGACAAGAAAGCGAAAGAUCUUACAGAUUAGACAUUUGUAAAUAAAUGAAAACCGGUUAUAUGUAAAUUCACACGCCAAAAGUGUCGAAUAAUUAAGUGCACAAAUUUUGAAGGUACUCGAAAUGUCUGGUAAUCCUAAGAAAAAUCUUUGUAUAUUUGUAGAGUCCAUGAGUAAUUAGUGUGACUCUUGAAUUUUUCAAGGUGGUAAAACAGAGUAGAAAAUAUUAUCGGAUUUUGACGUCCACUAGCAAAAACCUUAAGUGCUAUAAUUAGUUAUUCCUUCCAUAAUUUUGCUCAAUUACUCACCAGAAAAAUGAGAAAUAGAUGAAUUUGUGAUUUUCUUAAAAUAAUAAAUUAAAAGAUCAUCUUUUUAAUCCCUAUUUGAAGACUAAUCAAACGUAUACGAAAUACAAUUUUGUGAAUAAGCGAUAAAUCAAGAAAAAAAGGAGAUUAUUAUGCGCAGUCAAAUUUAAUAGGGAUCAAGAUCAUUAUUUUGUAUCAAAAGUAUUAAAGAAUGAAAUAAAAAAAUUUACUACUAAAAAGAAGCUGGGAAUAAGAAGCAAAAAGAUCGGAUUACUAUUAACGCCAUUUAAAGCGACUUACAAAUAAAAAGAUUCUCAUAUAAUUUUAGUCUAACGAUAAACUGACAUGGCUCAUAACUUAUCAAGGAUAUUAUUAAGAAACACUUCAUUUACUGGAUUAACAUAUGUUUAGACUAAUAGCUUUGUUACAUCACUUUUUAAUCACAAAGAGAAGAAAUAUUUAUUUGAAAAGUUAACACCAAUCCAUUUAGACCAAUUAUUUUAACUAAAAAAAAUAUAAAAAAAUUUUUUCUUAUAAAGUAUAGUUACAAGUGCAUCUAAUUCAAUAUUUGCACUUUAAACAAUUAUUAUUCAUCAGGUAUUAGCAGAUAUUGAAAAGGAGUAAAAUUUAACGCCAAAUAUCUGAAAUGCAUUAACAGAUAUCUAGUUACCCGAGUGUCAGAGAUGAAAUUUGUACCAUAAAAUAAUCGAGACAAAUAAUGGAGAACAUGUAUAAUGUGGCAGAGCAGAAUUAAAAAAAAAAUGGAAAAAAAAGGAAAGGAAACGAAGGUGGCCAAGCAAGAGGCAAUUUGAGCUCUCUGUAAAAGUUCAAACUCUGCAUCUCUUGCAUCUUUUGCUUCCCACGGAGUCGCAUCAUUCUACCUUAUCCCCUUGUUCUUCAUUUUUAGGCCCCUCCCUCCCUCUACAUCCUUCAAUGAUCUCUUUCUUCCAUGGAUGUAGUCUUUUACCGUAUACAAGUCCUAUACCAUGAGACUAGUAUCGAAAAAUUUUCUCUGCCUCUUUGAUGCAUUUUAAAUGCCCUUAAAUUUAAGGUUGCCGAAAGAGAUUUUCUGUUUUGACAAAUUUAAGGUUUUGUAAAACUGACCUUAGGAGGAUGUUUAGUUGACGAAAAUUUGUUUCACUUCCUGUGGACUUAUAGAAGAUUUGGAGUCAUGAGAGGAUGGGAAACUAAAUGGAAAUUUAAUUAGCUCUUCUGGUGACACAUCCAGUCAAAAUGAAACUUAAUAUUUACUUAAUUUUUUUUGUUCUCUCAACAGGAACUAAAGAAAAAAGAAUCAGGUGUGACUGUAUAAUAGGUUUAUCAAAUACCAUUUUUGAAGCUGCCUUCAGUGUCUACAUUCCUACAGAAGCUUGGUGUAAAACAAUAUACACUAAAAAAAAAAAUAAAUAUUCGACUAAAUAACUACAAAAAAUGAUUUAGGUAAUCAUAAAAAAUAUUCUUAUACGUUCUAUAAUUUCUUACUGAUAAGUAGUUUUAUGAUAAUCUGAGUCAAGGCAAGUUUUUCUUUCUUUAAUCAAAAUUUUUUUAAACUCUUGGAACAUACAAAAAACUAAGGAAAUAAUUUUUUGCGACUUCACAGUGAAAUUUCAGCAUUUACUGGAGUAAUUUUCUUUUGCUCCAUGUGUAAAAAGUUUUGACACUUACUCCAUAAAACAUUAACGUAAAGAGAUGAUACUUAUACGGCAUCAGAUCAUGGUAAUUUAAGUUAAAGCAUUCGAGCGUGUUUCCAUUUUAACGUGAACUCCAAUCAUUUGUAGUUCCUUGAUAUAGCUAAGAGUUUCCGGCUUAAAAAAAUCAAUAAUUACAUGUUGAAAGUUCUUAUGAAAAAUUUUUAAUAGUUAGCUUGAUUUAAACUCGACGUCAAAAUAUAGAAAAGUCGGUAAAUACAAACAAAAAUAAAGGUUACAAUUAUCCAUGACUUUCCGGUUAGAACCGUGUCAUUCGUAGUCAUCAACAGUUUGGGGGACGGUCACAGGAUAAUGAGGAAAAAGCAGCGUUAACAGAAGUGUCCUAAAAGGUAAAAUAAUUAAUGAACUAGUUGUAUCGGCGUAAUUAUCGAAAUUACAGGUCCAUAUAAUCUAAGUUGUACAAACAAAGAAUUCUAGAGUAAACAUUACUGAGCACCGAAAAAAAGAAUGUCCUGUUGAUGCAACAUGUUGGAGAUUUGUCAACUAUCUUAUAGUUGACAAAAAUUUGAUCAAUUGAUCAAAUUAAAAUAUUGUUUGUGCAUGUUAAAACAUUCUUAUAAAUAUGAAUAUGAGAAAAAAAAAAAAUAAGAAAAGAAAAGUUGGGUGGAGCAUGUUCUGGUGCUGGUUUUAAUGUGGUUUAAGGCGCCUGGAACGUCGUUGAUCGCACGCCCGAUAUGAUCCGCCCCGUCGUUUAACCCCUCUGUUGCUUUGUUAUAAUAUUUGCCCAAGCAAAAUAUAGUAAUUGCAUAUUUGCUUUUAGGUCCCAAUUACUAUACACGUCUACCUCUCGUUUCUCAUCUUUCUUUUCCACUUGAUUCGUCUAUGGAAGAUCUAUAAGACCGCUUCUGUUCUUGUACCGACACCGUAACCAUCAAAAA
rnacentral:lncRNA from 1 species